rnacentral:rRNA from 1 species
GACAGAGGUCCCGAGCGUUAGGCGGAAUCACUGGGCUUAAAGCGUGUGUAGGCGGAUGUCUAAGUACCUUGUGAAAUCCCACGGCUUAACCGUGGAAUUGCUUGGUAUACUGGAUGUCUUGAGCCAGCUAGGGGCAACCGGAACAAACGGUGGAGCGGUGAAAUGCGUAGAUAUCGUUUGGAACACCAAUGGUGAAAACAGCUAGCUGGGAGUGUGCCGACGCUGAGACACGAAAGCCAGGGGAGCGAACGGG